UGAACCUCAGCGAGGUGGACAUCUGUGCAAAGCCACCCAGCUAAUUAGUGAGAGGUUUCCGGACUAGGACGCAGGGCUCUGUUCCCCCUCUGCCUGACUCUGGGGCAUCUUCACGAUGUGUCAGUCUCCUCCUGGAAGAAUUAGCCAGCCCCACUGGAGAAGUCUGGGUGGAAUUAAGGAUAAAGACGACAGGAACAUGCUGGGGAGUGUCAUCCAGUGACUGGUCCACAGUAGGAUCUCACCCGAGUGCCCUCUCUACAGCUGUUGUCAUGCCAACCCUAGAGCAUCAAGCCCAACCAUUGUAUGCAUUUAGUUUUUUUUUUUUUUACAUUUGGUUAGGUUUUUUUUUUUUUUUUAAAUCAACUUGGCACAAGCUAGAGUCACCUGAGGGAACCACAACUGAAAAUAUGCCUCCAUGGGAUUAGCCUCUAGGCAAGAACUGUGGGGCUUUUGUUGUUGUUGUUGUUGUUGUUUAAUUGGUGAUUGAUAUGAAGGUACCCAGUUCACUGUGGUUGUUAUAACCCCGAGGCAGGUGGUCAACUGAGCAAGCCAAGAGAUGCAAGCCAGUAAGCAGCGGCUUUCUAUGGCCUCUG